GGGGAUUUAGUUCAGUGGUUCGGACACCUGCCUCGCAAGCAUAAGGACCAGAGUUCAAUCCCUGGUACCCCC
rnacentral:tRNA from 1 species